UUUGUCCUACGGGGGGCAGCAGUGGGGAAUAUUGCGCAAUGGGGGAAACCCUGACGCAGCAACGCCGCGUGCGGGAUGAAGGCCUUCGGGUUGUAAACCGCUUUCAGCAGGGAAGAUCCAAGACGGUACCUGCAGAAGAAGCCCCGGCUAACUACGUGCCAGCAGCCGCGGUAAUACGUAGGGGGCGAGCGUUAUCCGGAUUCAUUGGGCGUAAAGCGCGCGCAGGCGGGGUGCUACGCGGGACC
rnacentral:rRNA from 1 species